UCAGUUUGCAAGCUCUUUAUGCAAGGCCUGGAUAAGAAGGGACGCCCCAUCGUGGUUUGCUUUGGUGGCAGGCAUAAGCAGAACAAUCUAGAGGAGUUCAAGCGUUUUGUGGUCUACAGCUUAGACAAAAUAUG